GAAUUUUUAGGCAUUUUCUAAAAUGCCUAAAGUUGACAGGCAUUUUACAAAAUGCCUAAAAAAACCUAGUCAUUUUGUAAAUUGCCUG
rnacentral:sRNA from 1 species